rnacentral:rRNA from 1 species
UGACCUCGGAUCAGGUAGGGAUACCCGCUGAACUUAAGCAUAUCAAUAAGCGGAGGAAAAGAAACCAACAGGGAUUGCCCUAGUAACGGCGAGUGAAGCGGCAAUAGCUCAAAUUUGAAAGCUGGCCUUCUGGUCCGCAUUGUAAUUUGUAGAGGAUGCUUUUAGGCAGCCGCCGGUCUAAGUUCCUUGGAACAGGACGUCAUAGAGGGUGAGAAUCCCGUAUGUGACCGGCUCUGGCACCUUAUGUAAAGCUCCUUCGACGAGUCGAGUUGUUUGGGAAUGCAGCUCUAAAUGGGAGGUAAAUUUCUUCUAAAGCUAAAUACCGGCGAGAGACCGAUAGCGCACAAGUAGAGUGAUCGAAAGAUGAAAAGCACUUUGGAAAGAGAGUUAAAAAGCACGUGAAAUUGUUGAAAGGGAAGCGCUUGCAAUCAGACUUGGACUUGGCUGUUCAACCGGUCUUCUGACCGGCCCACUCAGUCUCGUCCAGGCCAGCAUCAGUUUCGGCGGCCGGAUAAAGGCCCCGGGAAUGUAGCUGCCCCCCCGGGGGCAGUGUUAUAGCCCGGGGUGUAAUACGGCCAGCCGGGACUGAGGUCCGC